rnacentral:tRNA from 1 species
GGGGUUGUAGUUCAGUGGUAGAGCACUUGUUUUGCACAUAUGAGACACUGGGUUCAACCCUC